rnacentral:lncRNA from 1 species
UGCCACCAAUAUCACCCCGCCGUCGCCGAUCGGAGCUGCCACUACCACGUCCGCCGCCGACGCAGGCCGAGCCGCGUCCCACCGCCAUCGCCACCCAAGCCGCUAAGCCCGAGCCAAACUCCGGCGCCGUCCGCUGCCGCGCCCACCGCCCAAGUCGCCCAACGCCGCUGCUCAACUCGCUAUCACCGCCUGCCGUCGACAUCGCCCAACGCCGCUGCCGUACCUGCUGCCGUUGCCCAAGCCGAAGCUGGAACACAAACCCCCACUGGAACACAACCGCCCAACGCCGCUGCCGUACUAGCAUUAUAAUGUACUCAAUAUAAUAUAUAUAAUUUUUUUUAUGUCUCGUACUUUGAAUCAAGGGUUAAUUUUAUAGGUGCCCUCACCCCAACUCCUAAUUACAUGGAUACCUUUCAAAAAUUAUUAAUAUCAAAAAUAUCUUUCAAAUUUAGUAAAAUUAUCUAAACUAUCCUUAUUACCUAUAUUUAAAAAAAAAUAUGACUAAAAUACCCAUUUUACCCCUCUUACUCUUACAACAAUUAUAAUAUAUAUUUUAUUACCAAGAUAAUAUAUUUUUACUAUAAGUAUUUUUCUAGUUUAAUUUAAUUAAUUUAAUAUGUCUUCAUUUUAACUAGUUUAAUAUGUCUAUAUUUUAUUUCAUUUAACUAGUAUAUAUUCAUUUUAUUUGUUUAAUUACAAAUGGAAUAAUUAGAUACUUUUUGUUAGAUUUAUUUUAAGAUUUUUAUAUUGUUUUAGAUGUAGUUUGAAAAUUCUUUAUUGUAGCUUUAAUUUAUAUUACUAUGAGUUUUUUUUCAUAUUUGUCUUUUUAUAGUUUACUUUGAUUAUUUUUUAAAUCUUUAUAUUAUGUUAUAUAUAGUUUGAUAGUUUUCUAUUUUAUCUUUGAAAAUUUUUUUUGAUAGUUUUCUAUUUUAAAUGAAAAAAUAAUUAAAAUAAUCAAAGUAAACUAUAAAAAGACAAAUAUGAAAAAAAACUCAUAGUCAUAAUUUUUUUGAAAAAAUAAUCAAAUUAAACUGUAAAUAAAAAACAAAUUAAAUUAAACUAAAAAAUACUUAUAAAAAAAUAUGUAUUAUAAUUGUUGUAAGAGUGAGAGGGGUAAAACUGGUAUUUUGGCCAUAUUUUUUCUGAAAUUCAAAUAACAUGGAUAGUUUUGAUAAUUUUACUAAAUUUGGAGGGUAAUUUUGAUAUUAAUAAUUUUUGAAGGGUAUCCAUGUAAUUAGAGGUUGGUGAGAGGGUACCUAUGAAAUUAACCCUUAAAUCAAAAACAAAAAAAAGGGGUCUCAUUUGCAGUUAAUUUUUUUUUAUUGUUAUUAGUAUAAUUAUUUUGAGUUUACUUCCUGAUCUUUCUUCUUUUCUUUUUUUUUUUACAAGAAAUUGAUUUUGUGGGGAUUUCAAAAUCAUUCAUGGAAGCCUUAUUUUUUUUUAUGGACAUAAUUAAUCGAGGAUUGGGAACUGUUUUAUGUGCGUAUUUGUUUAUCUUUUUUUCGAAUCAAAAAAACACUAUCAAACCCUCAUAAAUAUUGUGCAUCAUAUUUAAUACGGCUUGAAUAAAAAUCUUUCACUUUAAAUAUUAUAAAAUUUUAAUCUUGCUGCAUCUAUUAUAGCCUUCACAUGUAAUAUAUUUAUAUAUGCAUAAAUAUAUAUAUUAAAUAAAGGUGUAUGACGAUCGUCCAAUUGGCAUCUAUUAUCACUAUUUAAUAAAAAAAAAAAAGAAAACAAGGUAAUUAUAUAAAUUAAGAAAGAUAUUUUUUCUUUAUGACCAGCUUAAUCAGAGAUGGCCCGUAUGUAAUAAAAAGGGCAUAAUUAACCGGGUACCUAAGGGUACUCGGGAAGCAUGAAUCUUUUUAUCUCUGAUGACCGUUAUCUAUUGUACUAUAUAUUUUUUACUCACUGUUAAAAAAUAUAUAGUCCAAAAAAAAUACAAAAUAAAAAAAAAGGGGAUAAAAAAAUUGCACCCCCUAACAAAUUUCCACUUCCACACCUCUUCUUUAUUUAUUUAAAUCUUUUCGUUUUUUCCGUUGUUCAUUUUUCGGAAAAACAGGCGGUAAAGGUGGCGACGACAACGAUGACGAUCCGCUCGAUGCUUCACCGUUGGCGGUAAAAGCGACGACAACGACGACAAUGAACAGCUUGACGCUUCAUCGUCGGCGGUGGAGAAAGCGGUGACGACAAGAUGGCAACGAGCUGUGGAGAAAGGCAGUGACGACAACGACGACGACGAUCCGCUUGACGCUUUGCCGUCAGCGGUAAAGGUGGCGACGACAACGACAACGAUCCGCUUGACGCUUUGCCGUCGGCGGUAAAGGCGACGGCAACAAUGACGACAAUCCGGUUGACGCUUCGCCAUUGGCGAUGGAGAAAGACGGUGACAACAACGACGGCGACGAGCCGUGGAAAAAGGCAGCGACGACAACGACAGCGACGAUCCGUUUGAUGCUUCACUAUCGGCGGUAAAGGUGGCGACGACAACGACGACGAUUCGCUUGACAUUUCGCUAUCGGCGGUAAAAGCAACGACAACGACGACGACAAUCCGCUUGACGCUUCGCCAUCAGCGGUGACGACAACGACAGCAAGGAGCGGUGGAGAAAGGUGGUGACAAUAAUGACGGCGACGAUCCGCUUAACGCCGAUGUACAAGAAUAGUAUUAAUUUUUGUACAACAACGGCAACGACGGCGACAAUCGCUUUUUUUUCUUUUUUAGUUGUAU